rnacentral:rRNA from 1 species
UACGGAGGGUGCAAGCGUUAAUCGGAAUUACUGGGCGUAAAGGGCGCGUAGGCGGCGUGACAAGUCACUUGUGAAAUCUCUGAGCUUAACUCAGAACGGCCAAGUGAAACUGUUGUGCUAGAGUGCAGAAGGGGCAAUCGGAAUUCUUGGUGUAGCGGUGAAAUGCGUAGAUAUCAAGAGGAACACCUGAGGUGAAGACGGGUUGCUGGGCUGACACUGACGCUGAGGCGCGAAAGCCAGGGGAGCAAACGGG